UGGAUCUUUCCAUUCCCCCUACUAUGCAGGUACAUUUGCAUUUUUAACCUUGUAUGUAAGAUCAUCUCCAUUUAUCAAUUGUAUGUGCAUGCAUAUGUUAUUCACAAAUGGACAGAGUACAAUGAAAAUAAUUUUUAAAUUUCCUGUAACUUUGGUGUCUAUUCUUGUGAGGAGGAACUUGAAGGAAACAGUCACUUAAGGAAACUAUGUGCAAUACAAAUAAUUUAAAAUUUUCUUGGAUUUUUGUAUUAAAAAUUAAGAGGAUUGCCGGACGUGGUGGCGCAUGCCUGUAAUCCCAGCUGCCCCGGAGGCUGAGGCAGGAGGAUUUCGAGUUCAAAGCCAGCCUCAGCAAUGGUGAGGCACUAAGCAACUCAGUGAGAACUUGACUCUAAAUCAAAUACAAAAUAGGGUAGAGGAUGUGGCUCAGUGGUUGAGUGCAGCUGAGUUCAAUCCCUAGUAUCAAAAAAGGAUGAAAUUGUCGUAUUUUAAUCCAAAAUAUUAUCAUUGUUAUUAACAUAAAAUUAUUGUGACAUCUAUAUACUAAGUCUUGCUACUAAGUCUUCAAAUCUCACAUUGUUGUAAGGCUCCAGCACUGUCCAGCCGAGCAGCUACAUUCCAACUUUUUGAGCUAUAACUCCCUGACCUCAGGGAGGUGAAGGGCUUGACCUCCAUUUCAUACCACAGGUGAGGGAACAGAAAAUCUAUAAGACACCCACUGUUUGCCAGACAACUUGUAAUCAACAUGUCACUGAAUAUUAGCAUCCUGCCUAUCACUGGCUAUUAGUUUAUCUAUCACUAGAUGAUAGGUCAUCCAAAAAUAUAUUAGCUUAUAACCAGUGGUCAGCAAUUUAUACUGAGCUCAACUGGGCUCCUCCUCCUGUAUGUGGUUAGCUGAUGGCUGGCUAGAUGGCUCAGCUUCAGAGUGUGAUCUGGCUGUCAUCUGGGUUACCUAUUCUCCCCUUGAUAUCUCAUCCUCCAGUAGGCCAAUGUGGGAUCGUUCUCAUGGAUUGCAGGGUUCUAAAAGAAAAAGAUAAAGCAUUCGAGACAUUUUGAGCCCUGGUACCAUACUGAUACACUUUUGUCAUCACAGCUUUGUAUGAGUUGUAGCAAAUACGGCCAUCCCAGAAAUAAGGUUUGGUAAACAGACUCUGUCUCUUGAUGGAAGCAGCAGUAAAAGCACAUUGCCAAGGUCAUUUCCUGUUUCCAUAAUUUAAAGUUCAAUCUUUUGGUAGAUACUGUUGAGUUACACAGACAUACAUGUAGAACUGCAUGCAUGUGAUUUGGCUUAAGCUUAUACAGUACCCCAUGCUACAGGAGAAACACACAUUGGUAGCCUGACAAUUAAGUCCAAGGCUGAACUGCAAAAUAAGUUUGCUUUAAUCUGUUUAAACUCUGGAGGUCAAGGCUUUGGGAAGAUCUAAAGACAUGAGAUUCCCUCCUCUUCCCUUGUUUGCUCUCCCAUCUCUGCAAGAGGGAUGGGCCUUGGCCCAGCAGAAAAUGGGUAGAAUGAUAUACCUUUGGAGGCUUCCUGGUGGAGUUCCCUGCCAUCUGUCAGGGCAUUGUCUCUCCCUGUUCUUGACCCUGAGAAGAAAUAUUGGUAGGUAAAAGUGUUUCAUCACCUGUGGCAUGAAAUGGAGCUUCAAGUCCUGCACUUCCCUGAGUUCAGGGGAGGAGUCAGCUUUCAAAGCUGGAAUGUGACUGCUCUGAUCUGACAUGUGCAGGAGGCUUAAAAUAGAGUGAGCUUUGAAGAUUUAUAGCAAAAGUAUAUUUACUUCACAAUAAUUACAUAUUGAUACUAUAAUGAUAAUAUUUUGGAUGUAUUGUUAUUACAAUCAACUUUAUCUUUUCUUUUAGUAUUUUAAUGUGAAUACUAGUGCCUCCCAUUUUAUUUGUGUUGGAUAUUGCUGCCUUAGGGUAUUGCUUCCGAGUUCAAAGUUCAUGCUACUGCCUCACAAGACCAAAGAUCAGAAAAGCUAUGGGAACUUUAAAAAUAAUAUUCACUACAUUCUUUCCAUUUGUGAAUAAUAUGUACAUUUACAUAAUUAAUAAGUUGAUAUGACCUUGUUGGGCCCAUAAGUUGGAAAGCAGCCUAUGUUAGGAACUCAUACUCUGAGUGCUGAACCCAGAUAUUGCAGUUGGCACACAACCCAUGCUCAGCCUUAUCACCAUGGUAACCUGGCUUCCCUUGUGUGCUCAGCUGUUUCUUUCCUGCUGUUUUUCUGCCAUUGACCUUUUAGUCCAUGGGUCGCCACUCCUAAGCAUGUUGCUAGCUCAUUGGGUUAUGUGACCCUCAGAUGAGUCUGCCCAGUAACAGGAUAUACAUACCUUAUAUAUGAUCAGAGAGAUGAUAAAUUAUUGUAUAAUGGUAUAUUAAGAAUUGUAAUGCAAAAUAAAUAAAUAAAUAUCAUUAAAAAAAACCUUGCCUAUGCAGUAAUAAAGUAGAUUGAGUUCUUUUUUUUUUUUUUUUGAAUCAAAUGGGGUAUAAUUUCUCAUUUUUCUGAGUGUACAGGUUGUAGAAUCACAUUGGUCAUACAGUCACGUAUAUACACACAGCAAUACUAGUGUCUAUUUUAUUCUGCUGACUUUCCUAUCCCCCCUUCCCCUCCCCUCUCCUCCCAUCACUUCUGUCUACCCAAUCUAAUGUGACACACUUCUUUUUUUCCCCCUCACAUCAUCAUACAUGUAUUCUGUACAACGAUGAGGGUUUCCUUCCAUUUUCCAUGUAAUUCCCCUUCUCCUUCCCUUUCCCUCCCACCUCUCUUCCCUAUUUAGUGGUAAUCUUCUUCUCAUGUUCUUCCUCCCUAUCCCAUUUUGAGUCCCCCCCCCCUUAUAUCAGAGAAGACAUUCAGCAUUUGUUUUUUAGGGAUUGGCUAACUUCACUUAGCAUAAUCUGCUCUAAUGCCAUCCAUUUCCCUGCAGAUGCCAUGGUCUUGUUAUUUUUUAGUGCUGAGUAAUAUUCCAUUGUGUAUAAAUGCCACAUUUUUUAAUCCAUUAAUCCACUGAAGGACAUCUAGGUUGGCUCCACAGUUUAACUAUUGUGAAUUGUGCUGCUGUAAACAUUGAUAUGGCUGUGUCCCUGUAGUAUGUUAUUUUUAGGUCCUUUGGGUAUAGUCUGAGAAAAGGAAUAGCUGGGUCAAAUGGUGGUUCCAUUCCCAGUUUUCCAAGAAAUCUCCAUACUGCUUUCCAUAUUGGCUGCACUAAUUUGCAGUCCCACCAGCAGUGUAUGAGUGUACCUUUUUCCCCACAUCCUUGCCAACACUUGUUGUUUGUCUUCAAAAUGGCUGCCAUUCUUACUGGGGUGAGAUGGUAUCUUAGAGUAGUUUUGAUUUGCAUUUCUCUGAUUGCUAGAGAUGAUGAGCAUUUUUUCAUAUAUUUGUUGAUUGAUUGUAUGUCCUUUUCUGAGAAGUGUCUGUUCAGGUCCUUGGCCCAUUUAUUGAUUGGAUUAUUUAUUUUUUUGGUGCUUAUCUUGUUGAGCUCUUUAUAUACCCUAGAUGUGUGAGGGGUAAAAAUAUGUUCCCAGGAUGUAGGCUCUCUAUUCAUCUCACAGAUUAUUUCUUUUGCUGAGAAGAAACUUUUUAGUUUGAAUCCAUCCCAUUUGUUGAUUCUUGGUUUUAAUUCUUGUGCUAUAGGAGUCUUAUUAAGGAAGUUGGGGCCUAAAUCCACAUGAUGAAGAUUAGGGUCUACUUUUUCUUCUAUUAGAUGCAGAGUCUCUGGUCUAAUUCCUAGGUCCUUGAUCUAUUUUGAGUUAACUUUUGUGCAUGGUGAGAGAAAGGGAUUCAAUUUCAUUUUGUUGCAUAUGGAUUUCCAGUUUUUUGUUGAAGAUGCUAUCCUUUCUCCAGAGCAUGCUUUUGGCACCUUUAUCUAAUAUAAGAUAGUUUUAAUUUUGUGGAUUAGUCUCUGUGUCCUCUAUUCUAUACCAUUGGUCUACCAACCUGUUUUGGUGCCAGUAACAUGCUGUUUUUGUUACUAUUGCUUUGCAGUAUAGUUUAAGGUCUGAUAUAGCGAUACCACCUGUUUCACUCUUCCUGCUUAGAAUUGCUUUAGCUAUUCUGGGUCUCUUAUUCUUCCAGAUGAAUUUCAUGAUUGCUUUUUCUAUUUCUAUGAGGAAUGCCAUUGGGAUUUUGAUCAGAAUUGCUUUGAAUCUGUAUAGUGCUUUUGGUAGUAUGGUCAUUUUAAUAAUAUUAACUCUGCCUAUCCAUGAGCAAAGUAGAUCUUUCCAUCUUCUAAGGACUUCUUCUAUUUCUCUCUUUAGGGUUCUGUAGUUUUCAUUGUAUAGAUCUUUUACCUCUUUUGUUAAGUUGAUUCCCAAAUAUUUUAUUUUAUUUUAUUUUUUUGAGCAUAUUGUGAAUGGGGUAGUUUUCCUCAGUUUCUUUUCAGAGGAUUUGUCACUGAUAUACAGAAAUGCCUUUGAUUUAUGGGUGUUGAUUUUAUAUCCUGCCACUUUGCCGAAUUCAUUUACUAGUUCUAGAAGUUUCCUGGUGGAGUCUUUUGGGUCUUCUAAGUAAAUCAUAUCAUCAGCAAAUAGUGCUAAUUUAAGUUCUUCUUUUCCUAAAGUUAUUCCUUUAAUUUCUUUCAUCUGUCUAAUUGCUCUGGCCAGUGUCUCAAGAACUAUGUUGAAUAGAAGUGGUGAGAGAGGGCAUCCCUGUCUUGUUACAGAUUUUAGAGGGAAUGCCUUCAGUUCUUCUCCAUUUAGAAUGAUGUUGGCCUGAGGCUUAGCGUACAUAGCCUUUACAAUGUUGAGGUAAGUUCUUGUUAUCUCUAGUUUUUCUAGUGUUUUGAACAUAAAGGGGUACUGUAUUUUGUCAAAUGCUUUUUCUGUGUCUAUCAAGAUGAUCAUAUGGUUCUUACCUUUAAGUCUAUUGAUGUGAUGAAUUACAUUUAUUGAUUUCCGUAUGUUGAACCAUCCUUGCAUCCCUGGGAUGAAUCCCACUUGAUCAUGGUGCAUGAUCUUUUUGAUAUGUUUUUGUAUUAGACUUGCCAGAAUUUUAUUGAGGAUUUUUGCAUCUAUGUUCAUUAGAGAUAUUUGUCUGAAGUUUUCUUUCUUUGAGGUGUCUUUGUCUGGUUUUGGAAUCAGGGUGAUAUUGGCCUCGUAGAAUGAAUUUGGAAGUAUUCCCUCUUUUUCUAUUUCCUGAAAUAGAUUGUAGAGUAUUGGUAUUAGUUCUUCUUUAAAGGUCUUGUAAAACUCAGCUGUAUAUCAUUUUGGGCUUUUCUUGGUUGGUAAUAUUUUGAUGGCUUCAUCUAUUUCCUCACUUGAUAUUGGUCUGUUUAUGUUGUAUAUAUCUUCCUGACUCAGUCUGGGCAGAUCAUAUGUCUUAAUGAAUUUAUUGAUGCCUUCACUAUCUUCUAUUUUAUUAGAGUAUAACAUUUCAAAAUAAUUUCUAAUUAUCUUAUAUAUUUCUGUAGUGCCUGUUGUGAUAUUGCCUUUUUCGUCCAGUAUGCUAGUAAUUUGGGUUCUCUCUCUUUUUCUCUACAUUAGCAUGGCUAAGGGUCUGUCAAUCUUAUUUAUUUUUUCAAAGAACCAACUUUUAGUUUUGUCAAUUUUUUCAGUUGUUUCUUUUGUUUCAAUUUCAUUGAUUUCAGCUCUGAUUUUAAUUAUUUCUUGCCUUCAAUCUAUGAUUAUUUUGUGAGGUAUAUAGGGACAGAAUUUUAUUUUUCUUCAUUUAUAUCCAUUUGAUUUAGCAACAUUGGUUGAAAGUUUGAUAACAAUGUGAAAAAGCAAAAAACUAAAAAUUUAAUAGAACAUACAUACAUCAUCUACUAUAUCAGAAGAUGUAUCAUACACCUCUUUCUAUCUUCACAACAUCAUGUAGUAUAAGUCCUUAUUUUUAACUGAGAAAUGAAGAAAAUGAUAUUCCAAGAGCUGAGCAUGCUGCUCAGAAAUAACAUCUACUAAUCAAAAGAGCCACAAAUGCAGUGGAGGAAACUGAGCCAGACAUUUCCCUGGGGAUUAGGACUGAAUCAUCAGAGUCACCUUUUACUGAGCAAAUACUCUAUAAGACCUGAGGUAGAAGUGUGUGUAAGGAGGGUAUUUUUGAAAGUAAUCUCAAAGAGGAGGUGCAAGGAAGUAGGAAAAGUGAGACAGGAAGGGAGGAAAAGGCAGUGAAAGGUGUGCUGCUGAGUUGGGGACCACUGUGAGAAAUCUGGGUUCUGAAUAGUCCCUGAGGGUCCAGGUUGCAGGCAUCUCAGUGAUCCCCUGAGCCAUGGGAAGCUGACACCUCUGCCUCUCAUGUGGCAGUUGCCAUCAGCCACAUUGCCUUCCCUGUGAAUGAGCCAAGUGAGCUCUCUUGGACUUGGGAAAUACUUGGGGCAGAAGAAUCGAGAGUCAAGGCUUAAAUUAAUUGGGGCUGUGUCCCUGUGUAUGGGGUCUGUCCUCCAAAUCAGCAGCUGGGCUGAGGGGCAGAGCCGGGGCCAUCAGAGGACCUGUGCUCUUUAAAAGUGGCAUUCAAACCCCACUGCAAGUUUCGCUUUCCUCUUAACUCCUCAAGGCUGGCAGCACUCUCUCAAGUAGAGCAGCAGCUGGAAUGGUUAGUAGAAGAAUCACGGUCCUGUUGCUGUAGCUGGUGCUGAGGCUGUACCCAAUGUGACUUCUUCCUACAGAUCUUCAGUUUUAAGUUGGCACAACUGAACACUCGCACUUAGGGCUACGUGGCACACAGGGAAGGGACACUUGUAGGAGAAAGCACACAUCUGCAUGUGCUGCAGCACACCUUUUAGCAUUUUCUACUAACCAUAUGGUAUAUCAACUAGCAGUUGCAGAAUUUUAUGAUAUUUAACAGUUUUGUGAAUUAUUUUCAGACAGUUUCAGCAUUUCCCUGUGAACAUGAGAAUGACAAUUGGAGAAUUUAAAGCAAAGCAAAAAACUUAAGUUUUAGCCAUCCAGAUCAUCACAGCAUGUGCAAAGCCCACUAAGCUCACAGGUAGUAACAGAACUAUUCAGAGGUUACCAUCACUUGGUUCAGUUUAACUUUGUUUACGAGUUGAUGCAUCACUGCCUAGUGUCCAUUACAAACAUAGUUCCCAGGUCAGUCAGCUUGUGCAAUUCUAGGACUUCCAGCAUGCCCUGUGAAGAGCUCUGUGGAUCUACCCCCAACCCCCAGCAAAAUGACAGGAAAUUGCUAAACAGAGCAACAGCAGCAACAGCCAGUCAUGUGCAUUCAUUGGGAAUGGUUCCAGGAUGUAUGAAGAUGUAAAAGGCAGUGUAACGCUCAGUUUCUUCUUUUUACUCUUAACUGAGCUAGAAAGCAAUAGUAUGAAAUUACAAAUAAAACAUACUCUUCUUCCUAUACCAUAUGGAAAUGUAACAUAUUUGCUAAUUAGAAUACAAAGAAGUUGGGUGGCAGUGAAGCUGUAAUGGGUUAAUGUGACUCCAGGUGAUAAAUCAGGAAAAAAAAGAAAGAAAAAAAUUCAAAUUAAGAGAACAAUGGAUAAUAAAUAAGGUUAAGAUGACAAAAUUCAUAAAUACCUUUUACCUCUCAGCUUUUUCAAAAGGCAAAACACCAGGGAAAAAUAGAAGACUCAGGUAAAUUCAGAUAUUACACAGGAGAUGUUACUAUCUCCCUUAGAAAAACAAGAUUAUAUUUAGAGAAAAGUAAUAUGAACAGUGUGAUUAUGUCAUUGUAUUAGGUAAUUCACAUGAAAUGGGCCAGUAUCUGGAAACACAGACUAGACACAAGAUAGAAAAUAAUGUGAAGAGACCUAUCACAAGUACAGAGGGUUUCAUCAGCAAUAAUUAUCGGCUGCACACCAAGAAGUCUCAUGUCCCUGUUAUAGUACAUUGGAGGAUGCUACCAAACACUGGGAGAUGUAAUAUUAGUUCUUCCCCAGUGCUCUAAAACAUGAAUAGUAGAUGCAGUUCUCAUCUCAUUUUGAGUCAAUAGUGAAGUGAUACCAAAAUUGUACAAAAUUAUUCACAAAAAAUAACAAGGGACUGGGGCUGUGGCUCAGUGGUAGAGUGCUCACUUAGCACGUGCGAGGCCCUGGGUUCGAUUCUCAGCACCACAUAAAAAUAAAUAAAUAAAAUAAAGGUUAAAAAAUAAUAACAAAACUACUUAUUCUGGGCUGGGGAUGUAACUUAGUGGUAUAGUGGUUUUGCCUAUAGUCUAUGAGUUUAUGUGUUUCAUCCCCAGCAUGCAAACAAACCAAAAAAAAAGCCAUAAAAAUUCUUUUUUAAACAAAAAUAUUUAUUUUUUUUUAAUUGUAGUUCACUUGGCUUUGUUGUUUCUGGGCCUUUGGUGAGUCAGUGUCAUGGUGGGAGUACAUGCUUGAGCUGAGCUGCUCACCUCAGGGUGACUGGGAAGCAGAGAGAAAGCACAGAGACAGAAGAUACUCUUCAUGGUUAUACCCUCAGUGACCUGCCUCCCCAACUACCCCACCUGUUAAGGUUUUACUACUUUCCAGCAGCCCAUGUGUCAUUGCUAGAAACACCGAGGUGCCACAAGAAUUCAGGCAUGUAGAUGGGCAUGGCAGACUCUACUCCUGCCAGAAGGGUGUGCCACCAAACCUGGUGGGCAAGUGCUGGGCGGGCAGUCCGCCUGCUUUUAUCCCUGACACAGUGUCUGAAAGGCCAAGGUUCGUCGUCGGAGAUUAAAAUGCACACACACAGAUAGCAGUGACAAAGAUGAAGUACUUUACUGCAAGCUGGUUCUAGCUUAUAUAGAAAGUGAGAGUCAGUUAUCUUAAACCAGGAAGCUCCCGGGGCCAAUCAUAGUAAAGGUCAGAUCAUCACCUAUGGUGCACGCACGUCCACCCUGCAUAAGAUUCAUGGGGGGCACGAGCUGUCCAUGAUCACGGAAGACGGGAGGACCAAUUAGAAAAUUUUCAAAACAACUUGUUAUCCGCCCACUGGCAACUUGCCUGCCGCCAUGUUGCAUUAGGGGCUCUUUAUCUAAAAGGCCCAGGGAGUUCUAGCCGCCCACUGGCAAUUUGCCCACCGCCAUGUUUGAAAGGUCCGGGGAGUUCUCAGGGAGACUCCCAACAGUGUCCCCCCUUGCCCUGAUAGGAGGAGGUCUGGGUUAUACUCUAUCAGUUGGCUAAUUUUAAAAUUGGGGUGGGCAAAGGGAAGGGCUAAAGUUAAAAUGGGUACAAUUGGGGCUGGGGAUGUGGCUCAAGCGGUAGCGCGCUCACCUGGCGUGCGUGCGGCCCGGGUUCGAUCCUCAGCACCACAUACAAACAAAGAUGUUGUGUCCGCCAAUAACUAAAAGAAAUAAAUAUUUAAAAAAAAAAAAAAAAUGGGUACAAUUGGAUCUUACCAAUUAAGGCUUGUACUAUGUUCUGAAAGUGGACCACCAAACUUUCUGUUUCUCACAUUAUGAAUCUAUGUAUGGAUUAAUCCUUUGAUGAGGCAGAACCCUCACGAUCCUAUCACCUCCCAAAGACCUCACCUCUGAAUGCUGCUGAACUAGGGACAAAGCCCUCAACAUAUGAAUUUUGGGGGGACAUUUCACAUCAAGCCAUAGCUUAGCAUGUAUCACUUCCAUUUAUACACCAUUGGCCAACCAAGGCAAAUGGAAGAUUAUAAAUGAUCUUUGAGUUUCACUGUGAGGGGAUCUGUAAUCCUUUGUCAUAGAAAACCACCACAGUUAAUACUAUGUAAGAAUCGUGCCCCACCCCCACCAGCCCCCCUCUAUGUGGGAAUCUUAUUCUAAACCCAAAUAUGAUUGUAUUUGGAGAUUGUGAGAAACACACUCACCUGUCCAAACCCAAAGAAUGGAUUGAGAGACAAAGGUGUGGAGAAAGCAAGACUUUAAUGAUGAUCUUGCAGGAUCUGGUGUCUGAGGGAGCAGGCACACCCAGAGCAGUUGCAAUAAGCAUUUUAUCCCUUAGUACACAAGCCCCUCCUUGCCCCUGCACCCCAACUGUGGGGUAUGCCAUCACCUAGGUUUUACUGUCUCCUAUUGAGUUUUUUAAAGAAAUGCGUCUUUAAUUGUCCCCCACCUCCCUUUGUUCUCUUGUAGCUGGAAAGCCUUCUUAAGGUGAGUGCAUCUUGCAGUUUACCUCUCUGUUGUUUCAGCAGGCCCUUUCCCCUCACCUCCUAUCUGUAAAGGGACUGUGAAUUGUCCACACUCUAGUGUUACCUGCUUGUAACUUUCCAUUCUGUUCUCUCCUGCUGCUUUUCUUACCUCCCGAAUUUAUAUUCAAGGCUAAAUACUGUAUUUUGAAAAUGGACCAACAGACUUUCCAUUUCUCAUGGAGAUGUCAUUUGGGAGAUAGUUAUGGUAAAAUGAAGUCCUCAAAGUGGGUUAUAGGAUUGAUGGUGUUGAAAGGAGAUGGAAUUCUCUCUCUUCUUCCAGGAAAGGAUAUGUGUAAGCCAGGAGGAGACCACACCAGGAACUGAAUCAGCUGGCUGCUGGACCUGGGUUCCCAGCCUGUAGAACUGCCAGAACCAAGUUCCACUGGAGCAGCUCAGUCUGUGGUAUUUGUCUUGGAGUCCCAGCCGCUGAUGCAGGAAGGGACACAAAGAUUGCUUAUCAUACAUUAUCUGUGUUUGCCUGCUUACUUUCUCAUAGCAACUUUGAAUCAACUUGUUUGCAUCUACAAGUGUGUAGUUUGUAUGAGAUAAUCACAGUGACUGGCUUAGGGAACACUGAUAUCCCUAUGAACAAUUUUACUGUUUAUGAAUGUCUUUUUAUUUGCUUUUUUUCAUCUUCCAUUUUAAUUCUCCUCUCAUCCACUUGCCUACCUUUUGUUGUCUUGCUGGAAGAUUUUUCUUUUUGAUGUUUUUAUUAUUUUAUGGAUGUUGUACAUACAUACAGACUUUAAUAUGUGGUAUAUAUAGUCUUCUACUUUAUUGAAUAUUACUAUUUUGAGUCACUUUUCAGGAGAUUCUUUUACAAUCUUCACUUUUGUUUUUCCCUUUUUGUUUGUAUGAAUGCCUCUCAAGUAGCACUCAGUGCUGUGAUGAUGGAGAAUGCUUCUCUUCCCUGUGUCCACUUGAACUGUCAUGCUGCCUUGGGUCUAAGACACAUAUGUUCACAUUCAGGUCAUGCCAUCAUAUUGAAGGUGCUCAUUACAAGUGGGAUAUUAUUUUUAAAGACACUUCCUCAGAGUCUAUAAUGGGUGACAUUUGGUUUUCCACAGAGCUAUGUGUAUGAUGAAAUACAUUAAUUUAUUUCUUAAUAUUGAACUUGGCUUUAAUGCAGAAAUACAUUUUAAAUGUUCUUCUGCAGUUCUCAUGUCUUUAUCUUCCCACCAAAUUCUUCUUUCAACUUCUAGGUUUUCUCCAAGCCAUUUCAUCCACUUAGAUGGCUUCAGCAGUCCCUGAGGUCUUGCUGCUUUCUGAAUUUUUAUAUUUACCUUUGACCUCUCUUCUGAGUUGUGGACCAUGCAUCCACUUACCAGGUGGGCACCCCUACACAUCUGAUCACAGGGACUUCGAACACAGCAUGCCUGAGGUCAGACUGCCCAUCAUGGCCAUUGUUGUGUUUUCCAGUCUGGGUCUACACAGCUGCUUGUACAGAUAGCUUGGAAGUAAAUGCCUAUUUUUGCAGUAGGCAUUUACUUCCAAGCUAAAAUUAGUACCGUGUUCUAUUUCUACUUUUUCCUUUCUUUUUUCUUUUUCUAGGGUGAGUUCUCUAUGCUGCAUUCUUAAUGCUCUGUUCCCUGGUAUAGGUGGUCAUGUGUCACCAGUUUCUUCUCUGACUCUCCUAUUAAGUUUUUCCAUUCUCUUUAGGGGAACAUUUCAAAAAUGCAGAUCUGUUUAAUCUAGAAUGAAAAUACAAGACUGCCUGUGAGAGUAUUUUAAUUAAAAAAUUUUAGAUGUUGAUGGACCUUUAUUUUAUUCAUUUGUUUAUAUGCGGUGCUGAGAAUCGAACCCAGUGACUCACACAUGCUAAGCAAGCAUUCUACCAUUGAGCCACAACCCCAGCCACAACCCCAACCCCUCCAUCCCCCACUGUGAGAGUACUUUAUAAUCUAUCAGUAGUUUCUAAGAAGAGUGAGCACAUGAGAUUUUAACUGUUGGAAUUAGGCAAAACAUUUAUAUUCACAUCACUAGGUUGUCAGUCCCCGACACACUUGCUGCCUUUACCACAUGUCACAGCCUAGGCAGCCUCACCUAGACUGACACCACUGUAGUUCCGUUAGCCUGGCGUGGGUUCUUUGUAAUUUCACAGUCUGAUUCCAGGGCCAGGACACAUUCAUUUAAGUGAAAUACAUGCUGGGAACAUGGAACAAUCUGCUUUUCCUCUUCUUCCCCACCCUAUCUUUCUACAAAUAUGUGGCUUAGUUUAUUUAACACAGUAUUUCAAGUAUGUGUUCAUAUUGAAGUCUUUACACUAGAUUUAUCUAUUUUUAGGAAAAGAACUUUUUUCAUCACGUUUCUGCUGUGAACAAGGACACUUCUAAAUCUAUAAAGGAAAUUCUAUAAUAGUGAUGUAGGAUUACCAAAUUAAUACAAAGACAAGGUAUUUUUAUUGGUAUUUUCCUCUCCCAUAAUACAAAUCAAGCUGUAUCUUAUAAAAGACAUAUGUAAGACACACAUUCACACAAUAGUGAAUUCUGUAUUUCUGUUCUGACCCAGGGUGGAGGGCUUGGGUUGAGGAGACAUGUUCCAUUACAGGGGAUGGUGUCCUUCAAGUACGUGUCUGUGGACUUCACUUGGGAGGAGUGGCAGGACCUGGAGGAGGCUCAGAGGACCUUCUAUAGGGAUGUGAUGCUGGAGACCUACAGCAGCCUGGUGUCCUUGGGUGAGUGAAAUGCCCCAGUGAUCUUAUUAGAAGCAAUUUCAUUGUCAGUAUUUAGAGGAAUCAUUUUUAAAUUUUAAUACUACUAUUAUCUUAUUUUUAUCUAUCUAUCUAUCUAUCUAUUUAUUUUAAUUUUGGGUACCAGGAAUUGAACUCAGGGGUACUUGACCACUGAGCCACAUCCCCAGUGCCCCCCACCAUCCCAGUCCCCCAACUUCCUUUUUAUUGAAUUUUAUUCAAAGACAGGGUCUCACUGAGUUGCUUAGUGCCUUGUUUUUGCUGAGGCUGGCUUUGAACUUGUGAUCCUCCUACCUUAGCCCCCCAAGCUGCUGGAAUUACAGGUAUGCGCCACCUCCUGUUACAGGUGCACCUGUAAUUACCACCACAUGCAUUACCAUCUCUUCUCCACUCUCCCUCCCACACAGCCUUUCCAUGCUCCAGUAACCACCAUUCUCUGUAUCUUUGAGAUAAACUUUAGCUUCCACUAAUAAAUGAGAAUAUGCAGUAUUUGUUUUUCUGUGCCUGACUUAUUUUACUUUACAUAAAUGUCCUCCAGUUCCAUUCAUGUUGCUGCAAAUGCAUUUUUUUUUAAUUUUUUAAUAUUUAUUUUUUAGUUUUCGGCAGACACAACAUCUUUGUUUGUAUGUGGUGCUGAGGAUCGAACCCGGGUCGCACGCAUGCCAGGCGAGCGUGCUACCACUUGAGCCACAUCCCCAGCCCUGCAAAUGCAUUUUUAAAAAACUGAAUAACAGUCCCAUGUGCAUACAUAUCACAAUUUCUUUGCCCAUUCAUCUAAGAUGGACAUCAGAGUUGAUAACCUAUCAUGGAUUUUGUAAGCAGUGCCACAGUAAAUGUGCAAGUGCAGGUUCCUCUUCAAAACAAGGAAUGAGUUUUCCCUGAAUACAUAUACACCAUACUGCUAUAAAUAUGGUCAUUCUGUUUCUAGGUUUUAGGGAUCUGCAGACUAUUUCUCAUAGUGGCUGCAUCAGUUUGCACUUUUAGAACCAGUGUGGAGGUUUUCCUCUCAGUGCCUCCUGGCCAGCUUUUUGUUCUGUGUCUUAAUAAUGAGCACCUAAAAGUGGUGUCAUGAUGGCUUGUUUAGGUUCUGAUCUUUCACCUGGUAAUUAUGGUGUUGAACAUUUAUUCCUGUGCUCAUGGGUAUUUGUGUGUCCUCUUGAGAAUGCCUGUUCAGGUUAUUUGUCUGGUUUUUAACUAUAUGAUUUUUUUUUUUUUGCCAUUGAAUUGAGUUCCUUAUUUUUUCCAGAAGUUAAUCCCUUUUCAGAUAGUUUGCAAAUAUUUUCUUCCAUUCUGUAGGUUAAAUUUUUACUCUAGAUAGUUUGAGCUUCCACUCUGGAUAGUUCUUAAUAUUAAAUGCAUUCCUGCAUUAAAUACACAUAAGAACUUUCACUGUAGAUAAUACAUUUUAAAAGUUCUUCUGCAGUUCUCUUGAGAAACGUCUGAGAUUCUUAUAUUUUCCAGAAGGCAAUCCCUUGUCAUUUUGCAAAUAUUUUCUUUGCAGUGUUUAGUUUGUAAACUCCAUUGGUUAAUUUUUGCUUUUGUUGUUUUUUUUUUUUGCAAGAUCAAUGCCUGUGUUUCACUGGUAUUUUCCUCUAGUAGUUUAAUCAUUUCAGGUCUUAGGUAUUAAGUGUUUGAUCCACUUUGUUGAUUUCUCUGUAUGGUGAGAAUGGGGUCUAACAUUGCAUAUGGAUGAUCAGUUUCCCACAAUUAUUGAUGAGCUUACUUUCUAAACAUAUGUUCUUGCUACUUUGCUGAAAAUCAGUUGGAGAUUUUAUAUAUAUAUAUAUAUAUAUAUAUAUAUAUAUAUAUAUAUAUAUAUAUAUAUCUUAAUAAUGGUUUAAUAUUGGUUUCUGUUAUGUUCCAUUGGUCUGGAGUCUGUUUAUGCCAGUACCAUGCUGUGGUUUAAUAUUUUUAGUUGUAGAUGGACACAAUAUCUUUAUUUUAUUUAUUUAUUUUUUUGUGGUGAAGAGUGAACCCAGUGCUUCACACCUGCUAUAAAUACUCUUAUCUAUCACUGAGCUACAACCCCAACCCACCAUGCUGUUUUGAUUAUUAUCCCUUUGUAGUUUGUUUUGAAGACAGAUAUUAGAAUGAUUCCAGCUUUGUUGUUUUUGCUUAAGUGUGCUUUGACUAUUUGAGGUCUUUUGUGCUUCCAUAUGAUGUUUAAGACUAUUUUUCUAGCUAUGUGAAGAAAAGUUAUAUGAGGAUUACAUUGAAUAUGUCAAUUGCUUUGGGUAUUAAGGGUUUUUAGCGAUAUUAAUUCUUCCAAUACAUGAAAAUAGGAUGUAUUUCUUUUGUGUGUCCUCCUUAAUUUAUUUUCAUCAGUGUUUUGAAGUUUUUGUUGUAGAGAUCAUUCACUUCUUUCAUUAAAUUUAUUCCAAGGUAGUUUUUUUAAAAUUAACUAUUGUAAUUGAGAUUUCUUUCAUGUUUUCUUUCUCAACAAUUCUGUUUUUGAUGUAUAAUAAGGCUACUGAUAUUUGUUUGUUGACUUUGUACUAUCCAACUGAGGACACCACUGCAUUCAUUAUCAGUUCCUGCAUUCAUUUAUCAGUUCUAAUAGUUUUUUUUAUUUUGGAGGAAUUUUUGUAUACAAAUCUCUGUUUUUUCUGUAUACAAAUUCAUGGUGUUUGCUAAUAAUUAGUUAACCUCCUCCUUUCCUACUUGGAUGCCCUUUCUUUCUUUCUCUCUUCUUACUGUUUGAGUAAAUGUGUUCAGUCCUGUUUGAAGAACAAUGGAAGCCAACACCUUGCCUUCUUCCAGAUCCUGCCAGAAACAAUCUGAGGCUUUCCCUGUUCAGUAUGAUGUGGGUUAGGAUUUAAUAUGCAGCUUCUGUGUUCAGGAACAUUACUUUUAUCUCUAGCUUUUCAAGGGUUUUUAUAAUAGAACUGUGUUGAAUUUUAUCAAAUACUUUUUCUGGGUCUGUUGACAUAUAUGAGUUUUUUUGGUGCUGAGGACUGAACCCAGGGGCACAUAACCACACAGCUGCAUUCCCAGACCCUUUUUUUGGUAUUUUAUUUAGAGACAGGGUCUUGCUGAGUUGUUUAGGGCCUCACUCAAUUGCUGAGGCUGGCUUUGAACUCAAGACCCUCCUGCCUCUGCCUUACAAGUUGCUGAGAUUAUAGGCUGCCACCAUGUCCAGCAAGAUAUAUGAUUUUUAAUCCUUCAUUCUGCCCCAGUACACUGUUACAGACCAUAAUAAUUUUGCAAUGAAAUUACAUGUAUCGACUUUCAUAUAUUGAACCAUCUUCCAUUCCUGUGGUUCACAUGGGGUCAUGAUUUUUAAACCUUGUGCUGUGCUGAUGGAUUGAAUUUGCUAGUGCUUUACUGAGAAUUUUAAAUCUAUGGUCAUCAGGCUAUUUGUGUUCUUGUGCAGGUUUUGAUAUUAGGGCAAUGCUGGUCUCAUAGGAUACAUUUGGAAGAUUUUUCCUUUAUUUCAAUAUUUCCAAAUAAUUUGAGAAGAAUUGACAGUUGUUCUGUAAACUUUUGAUAAAAUUUAGGAGUGAAGCCAUUUGCCCCUGGGCUUUAGUUUGUUGGAAGUCUGUUCCUGAUGUACAUCUGUUCUGUUAAGGUUUCUAGGUCCUUAUGGUUCAAUUUUGGUUGUUAUGUGUGUCUGGAAAUUCAUUCAUUUCUGGAUUUUCCAAUUAUGAGUGUGUGGUUUUUCAAGAUAUUCCGUAGGGAUCUUCAGCUGUUGUAUUAGUUGUAACAUCUGUUUUUUUCAUUAUUGCUUUAUUUAUUUGGAUCUUUUCUCCUGGUUAGUAUAAUUAAAGGUUUGUAAAUUGUAUUUUAUUUUUAAAAAUCAACUCUUCAUUUUAUUGAUCCUUUGGUUAUUUGCUUAUCUCAAAUUAUUUUAUUUAAUGCAUAUUUACUUAUUUUUAUGUGGUGCUGAGGAUUGAACCCAGUGCCUCACAUGUGCUAGACAAGUACUCUACCAACAGAUUGAUUUCAAUAUACCUUGGAGAGGAUCUUUUUUGGUCAAAUUUAUUAAAAUUCUUUGAUCUUCCUAGCCUUGGAUGUUCACAUCUUUAUCAUAAUUUGAAAGCUUUCAGCAUUUAUUUCAUUUAAUAAGUUUAGAAAAUAUCUUUUCCUUUCUCUUUGGAAACACCUAUAAUGAAAAUGUUUCCUUGCUUUAUGAUGUCCCCUAAAUUUUAAAGGCUUUCUUCAUUCUUUUAAAUUUAUAUUCUUUUUAGCUGACAAGAUUAUAUCAAAACCUGUCUUCAUCCCUAGAAAUUCUUUCUUCUGAUUCUUUAGUUCUGUUAUUGAAACUUUGAACUGUAAUUUUGUAUUUAAUUAACUGAAUUCUUUCUUUAUUUCCUCUGAUUUCUGAUUGGUUCUUUUUUAUUUCAUCUAUGUCUUUGUCCAAUUUCUUCUACAUAUCAUAACGUGUGUUUCUAACUUCUUUUAUUGUCCAUCUGUAUUCUUCUGUCUCCUCAGUUUUCUUAAAAAUCAUCCCUUGAAUUAUUUCUCCAGCUGUUUAAUUCUGCCCCAGUACACUGUUCCAGACCAUAAGAAUGUGAGUGAGACACUCAUCGUUGCACAGCUCCUGAGAGGCUGUGUCAUCCCUAAAUGCACCUGACAAGCAGCCUGGCACAAAUCUUUCACUGUUUUCUGUUAACAGGGCACUGCGUUGCAAAACCUGAGGUGAUCUUCAAGCUGGAGCAAGGUGCUGGGCCGUGGACAGUAGGCGAAGCCCCGCACCAGUGCCUCCCAGGUCAGUCAGUGCAUGCUGCGCAGGGUGCCACGUUGAGCUGUUUUCAUCUGUGUUUCCUCAGGUCCCAAUCCUAAGGAAGCGGGGCUUGUGUGUCAGCCCCUUCCUUUGUACAGUCUCCAAGGAGUACUCUCUCAUGUACACCCAUGUUUAUGUUCUCAUAAUGUAUACUUCAUUCAAUUUUCCCAAACCCCCACCCCCCAUAUGGAUCUUCUUGACAUUUUGAUUGGUUAGGUACUUUUUGUAAAUUCUCACUUUUUCUUUUUUCCUCCAUCUUCAUAGCCUCUUUUUCAAGCAUUCAUUUAUGUGCUGAAUUUUUCAGUACUUGUUGUUGAUCUCUCAUAAACACCAUCCUUUUUAUAAUUGUGGGAACAACAGUAGUAAAUUAAACAAAUGAAUCUCUCAAUAGAGCUUACAUUUUGUUGAGACUGAAAUUAAAUACAUUUAUAUUUGGUAUUAAGAACACAAAUAAUAUUUUACCUGGAUAAGAAAAAGAAAAAAAAAUAGGAAAGGUCUAAAAAGAAGGCAGCUUCAAGGGGGUUAUUAUUUAUUUACUUGAGCUUUUUUGAGAUGACUAUUUUCUAAGGUGUUAUUUUAGGAAAGGUCUAAGGAGAAGACAGUUUUAAGGAGAUAAUUAUUUGUUUGCUUUAGUUUAAUUUUGAGAUAACUAUUUUCUAAAUGUGAUACAUGCUACAAUAGAUGGAUAUAAAAUCUAGACUUGAGAAUGGUCAUUGUAUUGAAGAAACAAAUUUGGAAAUCAGCAGCUUAAAACAAAUAUUUAAAUAAUGGUCAUUACAAGGACUUAGAGAAUUGAUAUGGAACUGCAAAGAGAGACCAAGAAUCAAGCCUCAGGUGGCAUCAGAACCCACGUGACUGAGGAGAGCUGGCACAAGAGCAUGCAAAGGGCUGGCCCUUGGCUCAAGUUGACAACUAGAGGCCAGGUGGCUAAAGGCUCAGAUUUUGUGUGGGAGUUUUAUUUCUAGUUAGCCAUUUGCCUUUCUCUUUGUGGAUAUAAUCCUAGAAUAAUGAACACAAUUAAUUUGUAUAGGACAUUCCAUUUUCUAUCAAUUAGAGGCAGUUGAACCUUUAAGCACAAAAGAAGUCUGCCAAAGCAGUGAGUUACCAAGCUGGGUGCAUGUGCCUGAAACUAAGGGGGAAGUUCCAGGGCUACUGAUCUGAAGUACCAGAAAGACAUACAUUUCAAAGAUGAAGGGCACAGCGUGGAUUGUAGAACCAAGUCGUUUAGUUCCAUCAGGAAACAUACUGCAGAUUUCUGUACCCUUUAUGGUUAAUUCAGGUAAAAUUAGGUCUUUGGAGGAAGCAAUCUUCUAGAGUAGGGAAGAAGGCAAUUUGUGCUUGUACAGCCCCCUAGAUGUCUAUCCCCUUUCCCCUGGAGGAAUAAAGACUAAACAAACACAGAUACCAAUCCUUUUGUGGUCAGAUGGCAGACAAGUGAACUGUGCAUGCAUCCCAACAGCAGGUAAUCCUGGAAUUCUUCCAUUCCAUAUCUGAAAAAGCAGUGAAGUAGAGGAGAUCACCUCUGUUGUCAUCAUAAGAAAAAACUAAAGCAAACAAAUAGACAAAAGAAAUGGUAGAUGAAAAGAACUCUGUUAAAACUCACAGCUAAACAGUAGGUUAAUGUUUUAACUAAGUGUAUCUGCAUCUUUUAAAGAAUAGAACAACUUAGAGCAACAAAGGCAAACAUCAUAUGUUAUUAUUUAUUAAGUUACUUUUUUUUGCCAUUCCUUCAGUAAGGACAAAGUCCCACAAUUCAAUAUAAUUAUUUUGCAAUCUUGUGUCAUCAGGAUAAGGAGCUUCUUUACCUUUGUUUUAGAAUUCUGUAAGAAAGUUUCACGUGUUGUUAAUGAAUAUGGUGAUUUGUAUAUAAUUUUAGAUGAACAGAAAGUGAAUGGUCUGAAUGAGACAAGCCAGGAAAAGCAAGAGAGACAUUUCUGGCAAAUUGGACUCCCCAACAGCAGCACCUCAACUGAGGAGAAGUUCACAUUAGGAACAAGGUUUAAUUUGAGCUCAAAGCAGGUUUCAAGUCUAGCUCCAAAGAGUGGGCCAGAGGGGCUUGAUGUGUGGUAGAAGGAGCUUCUCCCUAGUGAGCCUGAGGAGGUGCAGGCUGGAGAGGAGCCUAGUGGUCUUAACAUUCCUUAAAGAAACCUAUUAUCAAAACCCAAAUAUGAAUCACCACUCCCCCCACACCUGUCUUCUGUUAGGUGGGUGUAGAGGAGCCCUGGAAUGUACAUCAACAGUCAUCACAGAGGAAAGAGGGCCAAGACUAACUACAGAGGCUGGACAGAGGAGGACCCAGGAGGGUUUCCCUGAGGAUGGCCCACAGGAAGCAAGUGUGAGGGCUGAGGGAGGAAGAAGGUGGUGCCCUGGGAAGUGGAGGUGGGAUCGAAGAGUCUGAGGAGAUAUCACUGAACACCUUUUGCUUCAUUGUGAUCCACAUUUCUUUGUUUCCUUUUUGAGCACAGGGAGGGCAAAAGGUUCUCCUGACAUCUGGUUUCAGCUGGUACCUGCUCUCCCUCCAAAGAGAACCUGAGGGCUGUCUCAGCUCACGGAGAAUCCCUGUCCUCUCUGCCACUUUCUAGAAGCCACAGACUUGUUAGAUGGUCUGUGUCUACUUAGGAAAAAUUAAUAAACUGGUAAACUUCUGCUCAACCAGUUCAGUGGAUAAAAAGACAAGUUACAGCUGGGCGUGGUGAUGCUUGCCUGUAAUCCCAGUGGCUCUGAAAACUGAGACAGGAGGAUCAUGAGUUCAAAGCCAGCCUCAGCAAGUUAGUGAGACACUAAGAAAUUUAUUGAGACCCUGUUUCAAAAUAAAAUACUAAAAAAGGAGGCUUGGAAUAUGGCUAGUGGUUAAGUGCCCCUGGGUUCCAUCCCCAAUACCAAAAAUAAAUAAAUAAAUAAAUAAAUAUAUAAAAUAAAUAAAAAUAAAAAGACAAGUUAGAGAAUGAGAGAAAAUGCAAGCAAGUGGCCAUGCCUGUCUUCCCAGCUACUCAGGAGGCUAAGACAGGAGGAUCACCUCAGCCUCAGCUCUUAGUGAGACUCCCCGUCUCAAAAAAAUAAUAAUAAUAAAUAUAAAGGACUGGGAUGUAGAUCAGUGAUAAAGUGCCCCAGGUUUAAUCCACAGUAUCUCCACAUUAAAAAGAAAGAAAAAGAAAAUGCAAACCACACUUUGAGCAAAGGACUACUACCUUGAGUGUUUAAGGUAUUCUUAAAACUCUACAAUGAUGAAAACAGACAGUCCUUUCAGAGAAUGGCAAAAGAAUUGAGAAGACUUGAUUAAAGAGAAUAUAAUAUAAAGGGAGGUCAUUCAACAUCCUGGGGAUUCCUGAACUAAGAUGAGUGAGCAAAUGGUCAAGCCAAGAGACUAGUGCAUCCAAGGCCCAGGACAACACUUAGCAAAGAAAAAUAAAUUGUCAACACACAGGAGUGUCGCGACCCCUUGCCCGCAAGGAAGACGCAACUCGGGAAUCUUCUUUCAACAGUUUAUUCAGGCCCUGGAUAUUUCUUCUUCUCUCUCCCGGAUGCCCCUCCCAGCCUUAAUAAAGCAUCCCAAGCCCCAAUGCAAAGCUGCCGCGUGGAGCUUUCUCACAGGGUGGUGUACAGGGUGGUGAAAAAUCAUGUGCCAACUCUCCCAGAUAAGGAGUUGUUUGUCACAGACCACAGCGGAGCCAGCGUCAUCUUGUAAUGGCGACCAUAAUCUGCAGAAACGGCAGAAGCAGCUCACCACACAGGAGUUUGGAUGAUUCCUCAGAAAUUCACACUAAAAAAUACAAAAGCUUACACACUGCCUGAGUCUAGUCAAGCAACACCGGUGAGAUGAUCAGAUGAUACAGCGGAGGGCAGCAUCAAGGCUGUCAGCGGUUAAGGAUGUGGCAAGGCUGGUGAGGGGCAAAGGUGACAACAAGAGGAAGACAGGAGUGGCCCUCAGCACUGGAGGCCUUCUGCAUCCUGACUGCAGCUGUGAGCACCUGAUGAGGCCACAACACAGGGUUUCAAGAGGUCAACAGGGAAGGCUGGGUAAAGGGCACAGAGGUCUCUCAUCGCCAUUUCUAACUUGGUGUGUAACUGAAAUUACCUCAAUAUAAAACAUUUGAUUCUUUUGAAGAGCUCAGGCUUCAGGACAAAGCUAGAUGACUAUGCAAGUCACUUCCCUGCUCAUGGGGUGAAAAGGAUUGAAUUAGUAAGAGCUGAAUGGUCCAAGAACAGAGCUUAGUGCAGAGGAGAGCUCCCAGGUGGCUGUCAGAGAUGGGUCUUCUUAGGGUGCUCUCUUUUUUUGAACUCUUAAAAAAAUCAUUUUAAUGAUCCUCUACCAUACAAAAUUUAUUCAAAUUACAUCUAUUUGAAGUGGUAAGAUCACAGCUAGAGAACAGGUCACCCGUAUUGAAUCUAUUUACAAAAUCCAUCAUAAAAGCUUUUGUGUUGUUGGUGUUUUCUUUUUAACAUUAUAUUACAUGUUUUCUUUUGUAAACUAGUGUAGAACACAAAGCUAAACUGAUUGUAAUUUGCCUACUCCAAGUCUUGGGAGAAAUACUUCCUUUUUUACAAAAUGGCAUACCCCAUAUGAAGAAACCCCCUCACCCUGACACAUACCACCUGACCUGCUCCGUACGGCCCCUUCCUCCAGAUGCUCUGCACCCCCUCUUGGCCCUGGCAUGCAGAGUUCUUCCUUCCUCUUUCCCAAAAGCUAAAGCUUUAAACACUACAAUUCUAUUUAUAGAUCCACACAUAUGAAAACAAGAACCACAUGAAAUACAAAAACAAGGUGACAUUCUUAAAAAAACUACAAACCAGCUAGGAAAUAUUCUGGUAGGGUUUACAAAUUAAUUACUAUUUUUGUACAAAAUUGCUAAAUAAUGAAAAGGUGAGUCAAUUACAUGUCCACUUAAGUAAAGCGAUUGCUAUACAUAACUCUGUACAUAUGAACACACGCCUAACACUGUUUGACAGCUCAUGUGUUGGCUGCUGUACACUCUUAUUUUCUAAGGCUCAUGCAGUCAUAAUCCACACUUGUAACUCUUAGCCAAUUUUUUAAUUAAUUAAUUUAUUUCAAUUAGGUAUAUAUGGCAGAAGAAUGCAUUUUGAUUCAUUGUACACAAUUACAGUACAACUUUUUAUUUCUCUGGUUGUACAUGAUGUAGCAUCAUACCAUAUAUACAGUCAUACAUGUACCUAGGGUAAUGAUGUCCACUCAUUCCACCAUUUUUUUCUGCCCCCAUGCACCCUCACCACCUUCCCUCCCCUUUGCCCAAUCACAGUUCCUCCAUUUUUCUCAUGCCUCCCCUGACCCCAUUAUGGAUCAGCAUUCAUUUAUUAGAGAGAACAUUCAGCCUUUGGUUUUUUGAGAUUGGCUUACUUUGCUUAGCAUGAUAUUCUCCAACUCCAUCCGUUAACCUGCAAAUGCCAUAAUUUUAUUCUCUUUGAAUGUUGAGAAUGUUCCAUUGUGUAUGCAUACCACAGUUUCUUUAUCCAUUCAUCUAUUGAGGGGCAUCUAAUUUGCUUCCACAGUUUAGUUAUUGUGAAUUGAGCUGCUAUGAACAUUGAUGUGGCUGUAAUAGUAUGCUGAUUUUAAGUUCUUUGAGUACAGACCAAGGAGUGGGAUAGCUGGGUCAAAUGGUGUCUAUGAUAUUUUGACUUUUACUGACAUGUAUACUCAAUUAAUUUAGUAUGAUGACCAUACUAAAUUUUAUACUUAAUAGACAUGGACAUUCAUGUUUUAUUCCUUACUUAUGAAAACACAUUAUAUCUCCAAUACUUAAAUUUUUUCUCUACUAUCAAGUUGUAUUUACACAUUUUUAAAAUUUUUUUUUCGUUGUUGAUGGACUUUUAUAAUCACUUAUUUGUAAGUGGUGCUGAGAAUCUAACCCAGUGCCUCACACAUGCUAGGCAAGCAUGCUACUGCUGAGCCACAACCCCAGCCCUUGUAUUAACACAUUUUUUAGCACCAAUUGAUUUCCACAUGCUUCAUGAUGGACAAUUAUCUUUGUUAUAUCAGGUUGUAGUGGCACACCCUUUCUCCAUAGAAAAGUCUUAACUGGGCUUCUCCAGAAAUCUUCACCAUGGCUGAUUUUAGGACUGUCAGGAAAAGAGUCUCUUUAAAGGGUUUAAUGUAGGUAAACUUCCAAUUUUCGUUUUGCCCUGUUUUACUUGCCACUGGCUGGGAAGAAAUAUAGAGAAGAAGCUCUCCCCUUCUCAGGUGUUGUUCUUGAAACUUGCACAAAUAGUGAAAGAAAGGAAAAAACUGCUUUUAUGUGAACUUCUGCAGACUGUAAACUUCUGAGCCCCUCCCCUUAUAUGCUGGGUAUAAAAUUCUAAAACUACCUAAACUUGGGGUUCAGGGGAGUGAUUGAUUACAGCAGCAGCUGUGCCCUCUGAACCUGGCUGCAGCUAAAUAAAACUGUUUCAUGCUAUCUUCAGUGCCUUGCCUCAUCUGUACCUACAACAAGGUUAUACAUUUCUUUUCUUCCUUAAUUUCUACAUUCCUCUUGUAGAUGGAUUAAAGGUGUAUACAGAUAAAAGUAAACAAAGAAAAGUAAUAUCUGUUCGUAUUAAUGAUAAAUUGACUAAUUAUUAUACCCUACCUCAAAUCUCUCCACAGCAGGUUGAGUUAGCUACAAUUGUCCUGGCACUGAGACUAUUUUCUACUACUUUAAACAUUAUUACAGAUUCUCAUUCUAUAACUAAAAUUGUUCCUCG
rnacentral:lncRNA from 1 species